UCCAUGAUUGAAGAUCAGCAGUCAGAGGGAUCAGAUGAUGACUCUUCUUAUGGGGAAGAUGCUGUUGUCAAAACCAAUCUUGUGAAGGAUUCCAGGGAUUUAAGAGGAAGAGUCCAGAACCAUGCAGUAUACCUGAAAAAAUCCGAAAGAAUGGAACAUAUGACAAGUUACUCAGGCUUACACUAAUGAACUGGUGGAACUUCAGAAGAGAUUGAUGGCACUUCGGGAACACAACGUACUUCAGCAGAUUGUUAAUCUAAUUGAAGAAACUGGCCAUUUUAAUGUGACCAACACAACUUUCUACUUUGAUCUUUUUUCUCUGGAUGAGAUGACCAUCCGAAAGUUGCAGAGCUAUCUGGAUACAGUAGCAAUAUGACACCUCAAU